UUUUUUUUCUUUUUUAAUUUUUAUUUUUGGCCACACCUGCAGCAUAUGGAAGUUCUUGGGCCAGAGAUCGAAUCUGAGUCACAGCUGUGACCUAUUCCACAGCUGCAUGAGCCAGAGCCUUAACCCACUGUGCCAGGCUGGAGAUCAAACCUGUGCUGCAUCAGAGAUAAUGCCAGAUCCUUAACUCCCUUCCACAUCUUUAUCCAUUGAUCUAUUGAUGGACAUUGAGGUUCCUUCCAUGGCUUGGCUAUUGUAGACAGGCACUGCUAUGAACGUUAGGGUACAUAUAUCUUUUCGAAUUAGAAUUUUCAUCCAGAUAUAUGUCCAGGAAUGGAACUGAUGGAUUAUAUGCUAACUCUACUUUUAGUUUUUUAAGGAACCUUCAUACUGUUCUCCAGAGUGUCGGCACCAAUUUUCACUCCUGCCAACACUGUGGGAGGGUUCCCUUUUCUCCACAACCUCUCCAGCAUUUAUUAUUUGUAGACUUUUUGAUGGAUGACCAUUCUGAGUGGUGUGAGGUGAUACCUCACUAUAGUUUUGAUUUGCAUUUCUCUAAUAAUUAGGGUUGCUGAGCAUAUUUUCAUAUGUCUAUCGGCCAUCUGCGUGUCUUCUUCAGAGAAAUGUCUAUUUAGGUCUUCUGCCCAUGUUUCAACUGGGUUGUUUUGUUUGUUGUUAUUGAACAGUAUGAGCUGUUUGUAUAGUUUGGAACUUAAUCCCUUGUCCAUCACAGCAUAUGUUAACUAUUUUCUCCCAUCCAUAGAUUAUCUUUUUGUUUUGUUUAUGGUUUCCUUUGUUGUGCAAAUGAUCCCUUGUUUAUUUGCUUAUUUUGACUUAAAUAACAGAAAUUUAUGCCUCACAGUUCUAAAGGCAAGGAAGGAGUUCCCAUUGUGGUACAGCAGAAACGAAUCUGACUAGGAACCAUGAGGUUGCAGGUUCCAUCCCUGUCCUUGAUCAGUGGGUUAAGGAUCUGGCAUUGCCAUGAGCUGUGGUGUAGGUCAAAAACACUGCUCAGAUCCUGCAUUGCUGUGGCGGUGGUGUGGGCCAACAGCUGUAGUUCCGAUUCGACCCCUAGCCUGGGAACCUCCAUAUGCUGCGAGUGUGGCCCUAAAAAGCAAAAUAAAUAAAUAAAUAAAGGCAGGGAAGUCCAAGAUCAAGGUAUUGGCCAAUUCAGUUCCUGGUGAGAACCCUCUUGCUAGUUUUUGGGUAGCAUUUUCUCACUGUAUCUUCACACGGCAGACAGAAAGAUCAUCUCCCCCAUGUCGCUAUGGUCCUCUCUUUCUUAGCACAUGACACAAGAAAAGCUAGUUCAUGCCAACAGUUUAUGAGUUCAACCAGCUGCCAAAUUAGGGGAAAACACUGCUAAUCAGAGCCUGAAAAAUUCAAACCAGGAAAUUUAAAUAUUCACCCAAUUGGCAACAGAAGCCAAAGCUAAAAAUUUCCAAGAAAGGAAAGUACUAGGUGCCAUGAAUGUGGCAAAGGUAUGAAUAGAGCAAAUACAUGAGGUACAGAGAGACAUGCAGAGUAGGUGGGUUACAGAGUUGGCAGGUAGCAGCAAUUGCCUUAGCAGACCUGAGCCAGGUAUCUAAUGACAUCAAUGAUCCUUGCAAUCUUGAAUUUUCAUUGAGCUUUUAGACAGUUUCUAUGGUGUAAACAGUUCUUGGUUUCCUGUGAGUCUUUUUUGCCAUAUGUAUGUUUUCAAUGGAGUUACAUUUCUGGAAGUGGCUUAAAUGAGCUGCAAUACUUUGGAACCCCAGGGGCCUAAGUAAUCAGGAAAAUUAAAAACUAUUGGUUGAGUAGCUGUCUGAAAGCCUGAGUGAUGGUCCUUUAGUAGUUCUCUGUAGCUUCUUGCAUUGGUCUUUGCAGAGACAUGGAUUUUUUUUUCCCUAGCUGACCGCAUAAUUGUCACUAGAACCCUUGGGCAUCAGGCAACCUAAAAAGCUUGUGUAUUAGCUAUGGGCCUUCCAGAAUGAACCAUCUGCAGUUCUGCAACAAGAUUACCAAGGGCCAGGUUAAGGAGCUCAGAUUCCAUCCUGUCACCGGAGCAGAUGCCAAGAAGAAAAUAAAGCUUUGCUAGAAAAAUGGAGUCAUGAUACCAGCAAAUUCUUUAUUAACAAUUAUUGUGCUGAGGCUUCUUCCUGGGUUUGCCAUGUCAAACUCUGGCCCUUAUUACUGUCAUUUCUUGGUAAGACAGAAAGGCAAGGUUGAUACCACUUCAGCAAAACAUCAAUCUCAAAAUAAGGAUGAACCUGUGUCAGCUGCAGUUGUCCUCUGGGGGUUGAUGUCCUUUGCAGCUGGACAUUGUUUCAUUUCCCUGGUUGUGUGCCUGUUCUUAUUAAAGGUUAGCAAAUACUGCUCCAAGGUUUUACAGUACUAUCUGUCCCUGACUGCUUGUGCUGGAAACAUGUGAAAUAGGAGGUGAACCAGCUUUGCAAGGCUGACAGACUCUGUAAAGUGAGGGUUUGUCACCAGAGAACCCUAAGAACAGCUCUAUGCUAAGAAUAGGUAACUUCAUAUGAUCUUUUCAGGGUCUCCAGCAGGGAUAGCUAAUUGAGUUUAUCUGUAAUGUUGACUCUACUGGAAACAAUUUGCCAUCCCUCCCUGAAAUGCUGUUAACUUUUGACCAUGCUCAGUGAAGAGAGUGCUAUUUUCCAUUAAUAAUGUCUGACAAGUACACAGGAGGGGAAAGAGGCAGCAUGAAUGCCAUGAGCUAGAGUCAAGCAUGGGUUCCUCCAAAUGAAUCAGUUCUCGCCUGUGAUCAUACAAAUCUGGGUUAUCUAAAGAUAAAAUGUUUGAGUCUUUCAAGGACAGUUUAUUACUUUCCUCAAUUUUUCAAGAAUGGGAAUAAGAAGUGAGAGAAAGGGAUUAUUGUUUAUAUAUUUAAUUAACCUACAGUAAUACCUUUACCUUGUAAGAAAUAACUGAAUCUCCUCCCAUCUACAAUGCCAAUUCCAUUUACUGACCAUGUGAUCUUCAAAAAUAUGUCUUAAUCAGUAUCUCAUUUUGGAUACUAGGAAGAUCAACAUACAGAAAACCAUAAGAUGUUGUAUAUGAACUAUACUUUGGACCUGAUGGAUCCAAAAGACAUAUAUGAAACAUCCCAUUCAACAGCAGCAGAAGAUAUAUUCUUCUCAAGUGCACACAGAACAUUCUCUAGAAUGGAUCAUAUGAUAGGUCACAAAACAAGUCUCAGCAAAUUUGGGAAGACUAAAAUCAUACCAGGUAUCUUUUCUGAACAAUAGCAUGAAAGUAGAAAUCAGUAAUAGAAAGAAAGAUGGAAAAUUUGCACAUAUGUGGAAGUUAAACAACACAUUCCUGAACAAACAGUGGGUUAAAGAAGCAAUCAAAAAGGAAAUUUUAAAAUGUUGAAACAAAUAAACAUGUAAGUAAAACACACUAAAACUUAGGGAGGCUGCAAAAGGAGUUCUGAGAGAGAAGUUUAUAGCAAUAAAUGCCUACAUUAAAAAAAACUCAACCAGGAGUUUCCAUUGUGGCAUAGUAGGCUAAGGAUCCAGUGUUUCUGCAGUGGUGUGGGUUGGAUCCCCAGCCCAGCACAGUGGGUUAGGGCUCUGGAAUUGCUGCAUCUGUGGUGUAGGUCACAGCUAUGGCUUGGAUUUGAUCUCUGACCUGGGAACUUUCAUAUGCCAUGGGUGUGGUCAAAAAAGCUAAACAAAACAAAACCCUCAAACAAACAAACAAAAAACCCACUCAAAUAGUGUAAGACUUACAUGCUGAGAAGUAUAAAACAUUAAUAAAUGAAAUUGAAGAUAAUUCAAAGAAAUGGAAAGAGGGAAUUCUCUUGUGGUGCAGUGAGUUAAGGAUCCAGUAUUGUCACUGCAGGUGCUUGGGUCACUGCUGUGGCAUGGGUUCAAUCCCAGGUCCAAGAAUUUCCAUAAGCCAAAAGAAAAAGAAAAAGAAAAAGAAAAAGCAAGCAAGCAAGCAAAGCAAAGCAAAGCAAAGCUAUCCCAGGCUUUUGAAUUGGAAUAAUUACUAUUGAUAAUGGCCAUACUACCCAAAGCAAUCUACAAAUUUAAUGAGAUCCCUAUUAAAGUUUCCAUCUCAUUUUUACAGAACUAGAGCAAAUAAUCCAAAAUUUUAUAUUGAACCAUAAAAGAUCUAUAAUUUCCAAAAAGGAAAUUGCCUGAGGAAGAAAAAGAACAAGCUGGAUGCAUAACCCUCAUAGACUUCAGACAAUACUACAAAGCUACACUGACUAAAACAGCAUGGUAUUGGCACAAAACCAGAUAUGUGGCUCAAUGGAACAGGAUGGAGAUCCCAGAAAUAAACCUGCACAGCUAAGGACAAUUAAUCUUCAACAAUGAAACCAAGAAUAUACAAUAAGGGAAAGGACAGUCUCUUCAGCAAGUGGUGUUGGAAAAGUUGGACAGCCAUAUGCAAAUUAAAGAAGUUAGAAUAUACCCUCAUACUGUACACAAAAGUAAACUCAAAAUGGCUUAAAGACCUAAAAUAAGUCACAACACCAUAAAACUCCCAGAAAAGAACAUAUGCAAAACAUUCUCUGACAUAAAUCAUAGCAAUGUUUUCUUAGACCAGUCUUCCAAGACAGCAGAAAUAAAAGCAAAAAUAAACAAAUGGGACCUAAUCAAACUUAAAAGCUUUGGAACAGCAAAGGAAACCAUAAAGAAAAUGAAACCAUACAACCUAUGGAAUGAUAAAAAGUAUUUGUAAAUGGUACAGCCAAAAAGGGAUUAGGUUCCAAACUAUACAAAUAUUUCAUGCAAUUAAAUAACAAUAUCAAACAACCUAAACAAAAAAUGGGCAAAAGACCUAAAUAGACAUUUCUCCAAACAUAUAUAGAUGGCCAAUAGGCACAUGAAAAGAUGCUCAGGAUCAUUAAUUAUUAGAGAAAGCAAAUCAAAACUACUGUAAGGUAUUAACUCACACCAGUCAGAAUGGCAGUUAUUAAGAAGUCUAUAAAUACAUGCUGGAGGGGGUGUGGAGAAAAGGGAACUUUCCUAUACUAUUGGUGGGAAUGUAAGUUAGUGCAGUCACUAUGGAGAACAGUAUGGAGUUUCCUCAAACAACUAAAAAUAGAGUUGCCUUAAGAUUCAGUAAUUCCACUCAUGGGUAUAUACCUGGAGGAAACUCUAAUUCAAAAAGUUACAUGCACCCCAAUAUUCACUGUAGUGCUAUUUGAAAUAGCCAAGACAUGGAAGCAACCUAAAUGACCAUUGACAGACGAAUGGAUAAAGAUGUGGUAUAUAUAUAUAAAAUGGAAUAUUAGCCAUAAAAAAGAAAGAAAUA
rnacentral:lncRNA from 1 species